rnacentral:rRNA from 1 species
UACGUAGGUGGCAAGCGUUGUCCGGAAUUAUUGGGCGUAAAGCGCGCGCAGGCGGUCCUUUAAGUCUGAUGUGAAAGCCCACGGCUCAACCGUGGAGGGUCAUUGGAAACUGGGGGACUUGAGUGCAGGAGAGAAGAGUGGAAUUCCACGUGUAGCGGUGAAAUGCGCAGAUAUCAGGAGGAACACCGGUGGCGAAGGCGGGUCUCUGGACAGUUCCUGACGCUGAGGCACGAAGGCCAGGGGAGCAAACGGG